AAUCACUAACAUGCAUCUUUCUCUGACAACACGCCAAGUUGUCUGCCUGUUUUGUUUUGUGACAAUUCUGUCGAGGUGUGUUCUUGGAGUGCUCUCUUGGGAUGGCAAAGUUUCAACAUGCUGUACUCGCACCAACCGUGCUCAAAUUAAGGGCGCUAUUGUAAAAUGUGCACAUAUUCCUGCAAGACAUAAGUGCCUUGAGGCUUAUGUGUUUAUAAUGGAGAAUGGAAGAGCAC